ACGAACGCUGGCGGCAUGCCUAACACAUGCAAGUCGAACGAAGGCUUCGGCCUUAGUGGCGCACGGGUGCGUAACGCGUGGGAAUCUGCCCUUUGCUUCGGAAUAACAGUUAGAAAUGACUGCUAAUACCGGAUGAUGUCGCAAGACCAAAGAUUUAUCGGCAAAGGAUGAGCCCGCGUAGGAUUAGCUAGUUGGUGGGGUAAAGGCCUACCAAGGCGACGAUCCUUAGCUGGUCUGAGAGGAUGAUCAGCCACACUGGGACUGAGACACGGCCCAGACUCCUACGGGAGGCAGCAGUGGGGAAUAUUGGACAAUGGGCGAAAGCCUGAUCCAGCAAUGCCGCGUGAGUGAUGAAGGCCUUAGGGUUGUAAAGCUCUUUUACCCGGGAUGAUAAUGACAGUACCGGGAGAAUAAGCUCCGGCUAACUCCGUG
rnacentral:rRNA from 1 species